rnacentral:lncRNA from 1 species
UUUCAUAGGUAAGGUCUUGGCUCAAAUGCUGCCUCCCCUAUGAAGAUGUCCUGACCCUCCCAGCCUAGAGUGACUGCUCCCUCCUUGAGUCUCAGGAUCUCCAACUGUGACAUGGGCAUACUGUUUGCAACAUACCCACAGAUGGAUUGUGAUGAGGAAGGAAAGAGAGAGUCCAUGUAGCAUGCUAAGUGUAGUGUCUGGUGCAGGCCUGUGCAUCUCAAGAAGUGGGAUGGAGUCUGAGGCAGGUGGAUCACUUGAGUCCUGGAGUUCGAGAUCAGCCUGGGCACCAUGGAGAAACCCGACUCUACCAAAAAUACAAGAGUACACACACACACAAAUAGCCAGGGGCAGUAACACAUGCCUGCAGUCCCAGCUUAUUGUGAGGCUGAGGUAGGAAAAUCGCU